rnacentral:rRNA from 1 species
AGUGAACGCUGGCGGUAGGCCUAACAAAUGCAAGUCGAACGGCAGCACAGUAAGAGCUUGCUCUUACGGGUGGCGAGUGGCGGACGGGUGAGGAAUACAUCGGAAUCUACUUUUUCGUGGGGGAUAACGUAGGGAAACUUACGCUAAUACCGCAUACGACCUACGGGUGAAAGCAGGGGAUCUUCGGACCUUGCGCGAUUGAAUGAGCCGAUGUCGGAUUAGCUAGUUGGCGGGGUAAAGGCCCACCAAGGCGACGAUCCGUAGCUGGUCUGAGAGGAUGAUCCGCCACACUGGAACUGAGACACGGUCCAGACUCCUACGGGAGGCAGCAGUGGGGAAUAUUGGACAAUGGGCGCAAGCCUGAUCCAGCCAUACCGCGUGGGUGAAGAAGGCCUUCGGGUUGUAAAGCCCUUUUGUUGGGAAAGAAAAGCAGCAGGUUAAUACCCCGCUGUUCUGACGGUACCCAAAGAAUAAGCACCGGCUAACUUCGUG